rnacentral:rRNA from 1 species
UACGAGAGGCCCAAACGUUAUUCGGAAUUACUGGGCUUAAAGGGUGCGUAGGCGGCUUUUUAAGUCAGGGGUGAAAGACGGUAGCUCAACUAUCGCAGUGCCCUUGAUACUGAAGAGCUUGAAUGGACUAGAGGUAGGCGGAAUGUGACAAGUAGCGGUGAAAUGCAUAGAUAUGUCACAGAACACCGAUUGCGAAGGCAGCUUACUAUGGUUUAAUUGACGCUGAGGCACGAAAGCGUGGGGAUCAAACAGG